GAUGAACGCUGGCGGCGUGCCUAAUACAUGCAAGUCGAGCGAACAGACGAGGAGCUUGCUCCUCUGACGUUAGCGGCGGACGGGUGAGUAACACGUGGAUAACCUACCUAUAAGACUGGGAUAACUUCGGGAAACCGGAGCUAAUACCGGAUAAUAUAUUGAACCGCAUGGUUCAAUAGUGAAAGACGGUUUUGCUGUCACUUAUAGAUGGAUCCGCGCCGCAUUAGCUAGUUGGUAAGGUAACGGCUUACCAAGGCAACGAUGCGUAGCCGACCUGAGAUGAUGAUCGGCCACACUGGAACUGAUACACGGUCCAGACUCCUACGGGAGGCAGCAGUAGGGAAUCUUCCGCAAUGGGCGAAAGCCUGACGGAGCAACGCCGCGUGAGUGAUGAAGGUCUUCGGAUCGUAAAACUCUGUUAUUAGGGAAGAACAAAUGUGUAAGUAACUAUGCACGUCUUGACGGUACCUAAUCAGAAAGCCACGGCUAACUACGUG
rnacentral:rRNA from 1 species